rnacentral:misc_RNA from 1 species
CCAAUAGCGUAUAUUAAAGUUGUUGCAGUUAAAAAGCUCGUAGUUGAAUUUCGGAAUCAAUAUAUCGGUCGUGCCUCUGGUACGCACUUAUUUAUUGAUUUCUCACUUCUGACGAAUCAUAAUGUCAUUAGUUUGGUGUUAUGAGGAAUCAGGACUGUUACUUUGAAAAAAUUAGAGUGUUUAAAGCAGGCUCGCGCUGGAAUACAUUAGCAUGGAAUAAUGAAAUAGGAUGUUUGAUCUUAUUUUGUUGGUUUCUAGGAUCGACAUAAUGAUUAAUAGGGAUAGUUGGGGGCAUUAGUAUUCAAUUGUCAGAGGUGAAAUUCUUGGAUUUAUUGAAGACUAACUACUGCGAAAGCAUUUGCCAAGGAUGUUUUCAUUAAUCAAGAACGAAAGUUAGGGGAUCGAAGACGAUCAGAUACCGUCGUAGUCUUAACCAUAAACUAUGCCGACUAGGGAUCGGAUGAUGUUAUUUUUUAAUGACUCAUUCGGCACCUUACG